rnacentral:pre_miRNA from 1 species
AAAGUAUGAUGAUGCAGCCAAGGAUGACUUGCCGGCUCUCUAAGGCUUCUGCUAACAGAAGAGUAGUUAGUGAAGAUGAAGAAGCUGGCAAGUUGUCUUUGGCUACAUGCUUCUUUCU